UACGUAGGUGGCAAGCGUUGUCCGGAUUUACUGGGCGUAAAGAGCGCGCAGGCGGUCGUACAAGUCGCGUGUGAAAGCCCCCGGCUCAACUGGGGAGGGUCACGCGAUACUGUUCGACUCGAAGGCAGGAGAGGGAAGCAGAAUUCCCGGUGUAGUGGUGAAAUGCGUAGGUAUCGGGAGGAAUACCAGUGGCGAAGGCGGCUUCCUGGCCUGUUCUUGACGCUGAGGCGCGAAAGCUAGGGUAGCAAACGGG
rnacentral:rRNA from 1 species